ACUCCACCCACUGGAACAGUUUUUCACAGGAACUGAAUAUUAGGCUACACAACACCGGCAUGCAUCUCGCGGUGAUCGGUUCUGCGCAGAAUUUGCUCAUCUCAUGCUCUCCACCGACUGCGCUGACCAAAAGCACGAUGGGAAACGACUUGCUGACGACACAGCUUAUUGGUUUAAACAACCGUGAUGUAUUGAUCUGUUUUAAAAUGUUUGAUUUUAAAACUCUAAUAUGAUUUUAUGUGUAAAAAUAAUGUGCGAAUAUUCCCAAACUUUCUCACACUGCGAUCUCUCUAUGGGUUAUGUGAUUGUUGUCACUUUGUCCAUUACAUGUCGCAUUUUGUUCCUUUCAUUUUGUUAAUAUGUUUAUUAUUUAGGUGAAAUAAAUUUUGCACAUAUGCUAUUUAUUCCUUUUAUAGGAUUUAAUCCUGUUUUUCUCCAUUCAGAAGCGCUGCAGGUGCCCCAUGAUGAUGAUGAUGAUGAUGAUGAUGAUGAUGAAUCCUCAUGUUCUGUUGUUUAUUCUGCUAUUUGUUCAUGUAGGCUAAAACUAAACCUCUAAUGGACUAAGCUAUAUCUAUAUGCUGAGUUUCGGUUCAUUUUUGAGAAGUUCACAAGGAAACCGAGACGGCAGAAAAUUCUUUUUGUUUUCUUUAUUUUACAAGCAAUUUUUUGUUUUUAUUGUGAAUGUACAAAAAUAGGCCUAUUUAACCCUUCACAGAUUAGAAAUGUGUUACAUAAAUGUGACCAUAAAUGUCUGAGUAUUUUAAUUUUUGUCCGCUUUUAUAAGAAAAUGUAAGUGAUCGCGCCGGCGCCUCACACACACACACACACAACAUAAUUAUUAUUAUUGUUUUUUUUUUAUGACUGAGCACUGUUCUUAAUUCACUUACCCAGCAACAUCACCUAAAAAAAACUAUAAUAAAUAGCUUAAUGUAUUCAGUGACAUGUUUGACCAAAUAUAGCCUAACUAAAGCAUAAAUAUAAUAAUUCAAUUUAUUGCAUUAGACAAAUCGAAUCCAAGCACAUAAGAACAAAUAAAUAAGUCUACUAAUAAUAAUUAAUGCAACACAUCUCAAACGAGCGUGUAUAACCAUGCAAUAUUUGUUAAUUUCGUUGUGCUAACCUUAAGGUUUUUUAUGCCAUUGCAGCACUUUACAUUAUUUUUCUAAGUAAACAUGCGCUUGUAAAAUGUUUGACCGUCGAGCUCGUCUCUGUUGUGUUUUAUUUGUUUAGCUGCUUCAAGCCAAGCGCGCACUUGCAGUGUUACCAUGGCCACUUAUAUGCAUCUUUGGGCUUGUUAAUUAUUUUUUAUUAUUUUCCAUAUUAAGAGGUGAAGGCCUUAGUUCAGCUGGAAUGGCCCUUGUGCCGGUGUGUCCUUUAAAAGGAGAAAAGUCAGCUGUUAAUGCGGUGCUUGCGCAACAGAGGUGGCCGGAGGAAUGGCCAAGCUUCAAUCAGGGAGACGGAUUUGUAAUGCUUCCUCCAACUUAUGAACAUUUACACCUUAAAGCUUCCUUUGGGCAAAAUAGGAAUAAAGCAAAUAUUAUCAUCAAUGUUAUCCACACGUACGUUAUCCAGACGCAAAGUAAAAAAAUAUACUUUCUCAACUACGUCGCCGCCAUCGCCGCCGCGCACUUUGAACGCAACUCCAACACGUGACCGUGACGUCUAACGUCUCAUAUCUUACGUCUGACGCCUGAAUACUAUGGGAUUUUGGCCAGACGGCUGGCGAGCGUAUACACGUUAGUUCUCCUCUCAGUUUGCUAAGCAAUCAUCAAAUUUUAUAGAAAUCACCCCUCAUAAAACGGAGAGGGUGCACUUGAAGUCGCUCUCGAAUUACGUCAGCCCUCCUCGCGACGCGGUGAAUCGCACUUCAAAGGCCGCUUCCCCCCCCCCAGUUUUCUCAAGAACAGAAUACAGUGCAUAAAAUGGGUACAUUAAAAUGUGUCGAUAUAAAUAUUAUUUAAAUGGCACUUUGUCAAUGAAACAGCCUAAUUUCUGUACAGUUUAUUUUUGUGAUGCAAGUUAAAAAUGAAAUGCAUAAUUUAUAGCCUAUACAUUAUAUUUGUAAUGUAAUUUAUUUGUAAAUGAGCCGGAGUAAUUUCUGUUAACUUUUUUUUUUUUUUUUUACGUAUGUUCACAUGUGUAAAUAAAAGAUAAUUGUUCUGCUCAUUGUUUAUUUCUGGUUUUAUAUUCGCACAUUCGGACUUCCGCGUUUAAGAACGUUCUAAUAAUGUUCAAUAAAGUUAAUGUUUGCAAAUUCUGAACAGCGACACGAUAUUUACAACCAACGAUUGUAAACCUACAACAUUUUUCACAAUCGAUCAAAAUGGGCAAGUAUUAUUUUAAUGGCAUUGUUACGUCCCAUGUUAUUAUUUGUUUUGGGAUUGGUAUUUUGUUAUUUUUUUUCUUCCCUUUUUUUUUUUUCUUUGUCUUUACUUUCGUUUCAGCAGGGUGAUGCGGGUACCUGAGUGGUCAAAUCUUUUGCCAAUCACCGUGACGCGUGGUGACCACAACGCGCGGCGUCACCAAUGAGGGCGCCGUAGUUUGAUUAAAGAGCGCACCUGUGUGGGAAGCGGGAGUUCUCUGGCACGCCACAUAUUCUUUGUUGUUUGGUGGUUGACUCGUGUGCUUGUUUUGCCCUGUACCAUUUUUGUGUUAAUCUUUGUUAGUUAAGUCUGUGUUCUUCAUCCAGUUUGUUACUAUUCAAAAAAAUUUAAUAAACAUCAACGAAAUUAUUCUGUCAUUGAAAAGGAAACAUUGGCGUUGUUGCUCGCUUUGCAGUUUUUCGAAGUGUAUUUGGGUUCUUCAAGUGCACCUAUAGUUGUUUACACUGACCAUAAUCCUCUGGUUUUCCUUACAAGAAUGUAUAAUAAGAAUCAACGUCUUAUGCGAUGGUCAUUAGUAGUUCAGGGAUAUAACCUUGAUAUUAAGCAUAAAAAGGGUUCAGAGAACGUGCUAGCUGAUGCUCUGUCUAGAGUGUAGCCUGGUAAAUCUGUUUGAGAUAAACAUGACAUGUUUAUUUUUAUGGGGUGGAGUGUUACGUCCCAUGUUAUUAUUUGUUUUGGGAUUGGUAUUUUGUUUUUGUUUUCUUCCCUUUUCUUUUUUUCUUUGUCUUUACUUUCGUUUCAGCAGGGUAAUGCGGGUACCUGAGUGGUCAAGCCUUUUGCCAAUCAUCCGUGACGCGUGGUGACGACAACGCGCGGCGUCACCAAUGAGGGCGCCGUAGUUUGAUUAAAGAGCGCACCUGUGGGGGAAGCGGGAGCUCUCUGGCACGCCACAUAUUCUUUGUUGUUUGGUGGUUGACUCGCGUGCUUGUUUUACCCUGUACCAUUUUUUUGUGUUAAUCUUUGUUAGUUAAGUCUGUCUUCUUCGAUAAGUCAGUGUUAAUGGCCAUUCGAUCUUUUCUCUCUGGUGUUUCUCGCCAUUUCUGUUAUCUGGUUGAUAAAAAGACAUUACUAAACGGGGAAAGAGAUAAAGAACAGGUAAGAUAUCACGUGAUAUACAUGUGCCACACUGAGCUAUCAAUUUUUGUAUAGAACACUAGUUUAGUGAGACGUGCCACUUUUUGUAUUUUUGGUUUUAGUAAGGGUAGUGUAUUUAGGGCGUCUUGGACGCUGAAGAUUUUUCUUUUUGUUCAAUGUAGGGUUUUUUUGUGAAUAUUGAUGGUUGAGUUAGAUUAGAAGUUUUGUUUUCUGCUUAGUAAGAUUGGUUAUAUUUUGUUUCUUUCUUUGCUUUGGCACGGUCUCGUUCUUUUCUCUUUUCCCCGUUCUUUUAUGUGAAUUAUUUUUGGCUUUGUUAACGAAUGUAUAUAAUUUGUAAAUUUAUGUAAAUAAUUAUAUUUUGGGUUAAUUGGUAUUGGUUUCACUAUAAUAAACAGAUACGUUGCUGACUUAGUGGUGUGUAAUUAUUUUCCAGUACACGUUCAAUGUUUUAAUGUUGCACCCUUGUUUUCCCUAGACAAUUUAAAAAGGGGUUUGUAACAGGCAUACUUACUUGCGAACGUCCACUGAAUGUCCAAUGUAAUGUACAAAGUUAUUGUAGCCUAUGCGGAAGUCCGAAUGUGCGAAUAUAAAACCAAAUUUACCCAAGUGGCCGUAACCACCAUAGACAUUGAGGGGGACAAAAUACAGCUUAAAUACAGAGUAAAUGUAUAAAUAUGAAUGUAUAUAUUUUCAUAGUUAACGUUUCAUUUAACAUAAAAAACAAACAAGGUUAACGAAUAGUUGCUAACGAUAUAAAACUAACAUUACAUAGUUUAACCAUACAUAUUUUGGUCCAGUGUCCCGUCGUCGCCGGCAGUGAAGCAUGUCAAAACUCAAUAGAAAGUCAUAAAACUUUAAAAUGCACACACAAACAUCAACUGUCAGCUGUCUGUCACACAGCUGCUAGCCAUGUAACGACGCUCGGCUCAUUGUUGCCACGUCUGGGAUUGGGAUACUUUUACACUUGUGCUGUGAUUACGCUACUUUUGGGAUGGUUUUGUUGCGCAGACCUGGCAACCCUCCACUCCAAAGCCCCACCCCUUUCAUGCACUCCGAAGUGCGCAGCCCCCGAAUUGGGACACAGCUAUAACCUCCGCCAUUACAGGUUUCUGCGCUUCUCUACAGUCUUUCAGAUUUGGAAACGUUAAAGUUCUUCUUCUUUAGUAGCAGAUAAACUAUAAUGAAAAUGUAUUAAUCAGCUCCAGUCGGUAUUAAGAUCUCUCUGUAGGUAUUUAGCGGGUUUUGUUCACACUCAUCGCUGUCGGUCGGGAGGGUGUGGUUCAGAAACAACAUGGAGCAUUAAUGAUAUUCAUCGAAAUCAGAUUUUGCUGGAAUCUUCGACAGUAUGAAGAGCGCUUUCAAAUUCGUUCAGUUUUUUCUACUAAUGUGCGUUCCUUUGUUUGACUUCGCCACCAGCCCCACUCCACUGCCAAAGGCCAGCCAACCACCACCAGUGAACGAUUUGACGGAGAUGUUGUUUGAGCCCACCGCAGACAGUGGAGACCGGCCACCCAUGAGAGAUGAGCCUGUACCAAUGAUAAGGACGGAAUGUUUCAUCGGCUCGGAGCCCGGACCACUGACAGAGUCUGACCAGGUGCGCAAGCUGGCAACACCAUUCAUCACUGAGUUAGUGAUUGUGGAGUUUAAGGGCUGGGAGAAAAUCCCCACCCACAACACCACCGCUGUGGAAAUGUGUAUGUCGAACUCUGGCAAAUAUUUUGAACUGAAGGAUUUGUUGAAGUGAACUUGAUAGACUUUUUCGGAGAGGUGAUUCUCCCCUGUAUUUCCAGCAGGGCGCUAUUCUGCCUCCCACCUGCGACUCCACCUUGGGGCCUCUUCCUGGCUGGUCUCUGGUGUACUAUCUGGCUAUAUCUCCAGAGUCACCUGCAUCUCCAGUGUCCCUUGUAUUUCCUGAAUUCCUGCCCAGCCUCCCUCUCCCACUUCCUCAUUCAGCCGGUUCCUCAGGCCCACCAUCGCUGCUGUCCUUCAGCCCUUCUACAUCCUCCAGGCCACCAGCUCCAUCUCGCACAGAGAAUCCCCUGUCUCCACCUCCAGCCUCUGCGCCCCCUGCUCCACCUUGGCCCGUCGUCACUUCGGCUCUACAAUUGGCCAUACGGCUUCUCUGGGCUCCCUCUUCCCUCCGGCUCCACCUUGGUCAAGUGUUGACCUGCCUACACCUACGGCUCCAUCUGGCUCCACCUUCCCCCCAGCUCCUCCUCCAUUCUCGGUCCCACUGGCUCAGCCUCUGUCCUCAGGAUUCCCGGCUCCACCUCGGUCACCAGGACCAUCAACUGCACGUGGGCUCAUCAGCUCCAUCUGGGUCUCCAUCUUUGUUGGUCGUCCUCAGGGUGUUGUCUGCCACCAAGUCGACUCCACCAUGACUCCUCCCACCUGCGACCCCCCUCCCUGGGGCCUCGUAAAGGCUGGCCUCUGGUGUACCAUCUGGCUCCUCCUGCUCCUGGCUUCCCCUUGUCUCCUCCCACCCUCCACUCUCCCAUGGACUUAUUUUCUAAACUUUAUUUCAUUUUGCCCCUCAGUUCUUCCCCUUCCUCCAGAGCCCCGCCCUCCUGCCUCAGUUGGACUCUAUAUGGCGUGAGGCCACGCCUUCCCGGGAGCAAACUGUCACAUGUCUGAUGUGUUGUGUUUCUUAGUUUGACCUAGUUUCUGUCUGUCAGUCUGUUAAUUACAUAAUUAGUUUCCAACUGUGUUCAUUCACUCCCUCAUUAGUUCCUUUGUUUGGUCAGUGUAUUUAUAUCCUCAGUUCUGGCUUAGUCUUGGUCUGUUCUCAUUAAUGUUUACCUGUGUUUUAGUGAGUUACCUGCCUGUUUGUCAUUAAAUACUAUUAUUCAUAUUCUCCUUCGUCCUCGUGCCUAUCACUACACACCAUUAUCUAACAUACAGAGGUUCAACCUUAAUGUUAUGAAUCGAUGAGAAUACUUUUUGUGCGCAAAAACAAAACAAGAAAUAACUUUAUUCAACAAAUUCAUCUCUCCCCUGUCAUUCUGCUACGUGAGAUUCUGGUCACGAAAGCAGCACAAGGCAUGCAUGUGAUGCUGAUGCAGGAGCCAGCCCAUAAUGAGCUGGCGUUUGGACGUAAAUAUGGAAAUGCAGCACUGUGCCAACUGUGUAACAGACUUAACAGGAAGAUGAAAAAUUGUUGAAUAAAGUCAUUAUUUUUGUUUUGUUUUUGCGCUCAAAAAGUAUUCUCGUCGCUUCAUAACAUUAAGGUUGAACCAUUGUAGUCAUGUUGAUGAAAUUAACAAUGUUUUUACUAGUUUUCUGAUAAUUGAAUGUGGUAGUUCCAGGGGAUAAAGCAGUUCAUUUGUGUAAGAAAAAUAUUCAUACAAACCCGAUUCCAAAAAAGUUGGGACACUGUACAAAUUGUGAAUAAAAAAGGAAUGCAAUAAUUUACAAA